rnacentral:rRNA from 1 species
GCUUAGCCCUAAACACAGAUAUUUUAGUACAAUAAUAUCCGCCAGAGGACUACAAGCGAAAAGCUAGAAACUCCAAGGACUUGGCGGUGCUUCAAAUCAACCUAGAGGAGCCUGUCCUAUAAUCGAUACUCCACGUUAAACCUUACCCCCCCUGGCCAACCAGCCUAUAUACCGCCGUCGCCAGCCUACCUUAUGAAAGAAGAAAAGUAAGCAAAAUAGUUAAUAACUAACACGUCAGGUCAAGGUGUAGCAUAUGGGGGGGGACAGAGAUGGGCUACAUUUUCAAAACGAACACACGAAUAACAUGUUGAAACACAUGUUUGAAGGCGGAUUUAGUAGUAAAACAGACAAGAAAGACAUGUUGAAAAUCUGCUCUGAAGCGCGC